GUGCCAGCAGCCGCGGUAAUACGUAGGUGGCAAGCGUUAUCCGGAAUUACUGGGCGUAAAGGGUGCGCAGGCGGACAUUUAAGUCAGAUGUGAAAGACCCGGGCUUAACCUGGGCAGUGCAUUUCAUACUGGAUGUCUGGAGUGCGGGAGAGGAGAGUGGAAUUCCUGGUGUAGCGGUGAAAUGCGUAGAGAUUAGGAGGAACAUCAGUGGCGAAGGCGGUUCCCUGG
rnacentral:rRNA from 1 species